AAGGGAGACCUAAUUCAGGUAAAAGACGAAAAAAAAGUAGUCGCUACCAAGAAUCAAUCCCAAAAGGUCGGAGCGAGGCGAAAUUGGCUUUCAAACUAGGUUCUGGGUUCAAACAAGACCUGAAUCAGGAACAAGGGCUAUUAGCUCAGGUGGUUAGAGCGCACCCCUGAUAAGGGUGAGGUCCCUGGUUCGAGUCCAGGAUGGCCCACCUGUACAGGUGGCAAAAAGAAAGAAAAGAAGCGAGGAAUCAGCACCUUAUCUUAUUUAUAUAGUAAGAGAGAAUGCUGGCUCUGAGUAAAGAGUCCAGAGGAACCUUGAAAACUGCAUAGAGCUAGGUGAAAAAGCCAAAAAAGAAGACCGCAAGGUCAAGCUAAUAAGGGCUAACGGUGGAUACCUAGGCAC
rnacentral:tRNA from 1 species